CGUCUUCAGGAUACUCUUUAUCAGAAACCACCAGUCCCUUCCCAGCCACCUGAAAACACUUAUCUGGAGCCUAUUAUAUGGCAUAACUAGUCCUGGUGAUGGAAUCACCAUCUGCCAUCAUUACUGUGCUGUUCUGCCCCUCCUAGGGACAGAGCCCCAGACUGACUGCCAUCACCCUUCCCCUGAGAGAAAUGAGAGAAAUCCAUAAAGAGAGCAAAAACAGCGCUUCUCCUCUUCAACCCCAUCUCAAGGAUGUAAUUAAGGGCUCUGAGACGGAGGACCUGUGUUCCAGAUCUUAAGUACAGAGCAUCUUCUUUCUUUGCCAUUGCCUGUUAUAUUAAUAUCUAUGGAACGUCGAGAAACAUUCCAUGUUCUCCACAUCUUUCAAUAUUUAUAGCAUUAGGGCAGGAACAGAGACACCAACUUAGAGAGCAGACUCGCAGCAUCUUUCUUAGUGGAGGCGUGCCAACUGUUAGUUGUGGCUUGUGGGGUCUACUUCCCUGACCAGGGAUUGCACCUGGGCCUUCUGGACUGGGAACUUGGAGUCUUAGCCACUGGACCACCAGAGAAGUUCCUCUGAAGAAAUUUUAGGAAAGAAUUAGGCAGGACCAACAGGGAAAGCACUUGCAUCAGGCUCUUGGAAGUUCUAAAGAAGAGAUGGACACCAGUGAUUCUCAUGGACGCUAAGUGGGGGUGUUGGGCAGCUCCAGGAACCCUCUGGACAGUUGCACAGUUGCUUUGGGUUCCUCUAACUCAGCCAGAGCUCAGAAGCACAUCCUUCCCUCCUGGGGACCUGCUUUCCUCUGGAUCACCUGUCAUUUAUCCCGCCCCAGGAGCAGGCUCUGAUUGAAUAGGCUUGCCAAUACGCAGCACACAGCUUUUCUGCAGGGCACACACUUGUUUGGCCUUUUCAGUGUCUGCCAUACUCUUUGGCUUGAGAAUCAUCACUCUAGGAAUACAAAUAGAGAGUUGGGAGUCUGGCAGGUGGUUGGAACCAGGAGGAGGAAAUAGUAUGAACAGAGGCACAGAUUGCUGCACGGAGCAUGUCUGGGGAACAGCAAACAGUUCACAUUGGCUGAAGAAGUGUAUCUCAGCUAUGGGGUCUGUGAACUUCUAAGGGGCCAUGAAGAUGUUAUCAGGGCAGCUGAGUUCUCUUUAUGUAUUAUUAUAAUUUUAGUUUUAUUUUAAUAACAACCCUAAAAUACGGAAGACACACACAUUUGGGGCCAUCAGUGUGGCCAUUUUCAAUAUAAUAUACACUGAGAAGAUUAUAUUUAUGGUGUGGUGAGUUUAAUUAGAACAUCAUGACUGGACUUGCCAAACUGGUGUUAUUUGAAUUUUAUUUGUCUUGUAAGCUUAGUUGUAUCUCAUUCAUAAAUAAUUUUUUGAUGUGUGGCUGUUUAAGAGCCAUGAGUAUAAGAAGGUUUUUUGUUUUACCAAGUUUUUGUUAUUACGAUAAUAUUGUGAAUGAAAUGUUUAAUUCAACACUUUGUAUCUGAAAGAAUAUGUCUCC
ensembl:lncRNA